AAGCCUUCCCGUUAAAUGAAGGGGAAAGGGACCUCCAUGACAAGUCGCAGCCAUGAAACUAAGGGAACAACAGGAGGAAAUGCCGAGGAGGGUUUCAUUGCUACAGAUAAAUGAGAUGCCUGGUCGGCUGACGAGCUGACCAAUGAGCCAGGCAGAACUUGCAGCUACAAGGAAGGCGCAGAGCAGACGGAGGAAGGGCUUGUCUGAGAGCGCGGCUGGGCAUUAAGUCAAGCUGCCGGAAGCAAAGCAGCCAGGUAAGACGCCCCUGACGGUGGAAGUUCUGGAAAAAGAAAUACCAAGAACAGGGCAAAACGGGAAAGGACUUUUGUCCCCGUGCCAUUGAAUCUGCAGCUACAAAUUCCCCUCAGGCAGCUCCAGGGAAUGCUGGCCUCGGGGCCAUCUGGAAGACAGGAAGGUCUCAGGUGGUGGAUGAGAAACGAAACGGACUUGCAGUAAACGAAUGUGAGAGCCAUCUUCCAUGUUGAGUCUAGCUCCCAACACACACACACACACACACACACACACACAACUUCAAAAAGGAACACAUAUGUUACAAUAGCCAAAAGUCACUUACAAGUAAGCAACCCUGUCUUGUCGUAGGUGGAGAGGAGCAUAAAUUUUGUAUGGGACCAAUAAAAUGAAGCCACUUUCCUACAGGAAUGGUCCUGGUUAUUGCAUCAGAGGUGACCUGCAACCACAGAAGGCCUGUAAAUUCCAGUGUUUAUAGAGUCUUUCCUCAUUCAUGCUGCAGAAUCUUGGCUCCUUGAAGGCAGAACUGCUUCUCAUUUCAUCUGCUGCUGUCCUCACCCGUGGGAGUGGGCUGAGUCAUGCUGACGCGAGGCCGCCUGCGCAGUUGGAAGGACCAUUGAUUGCGCUUACCUGGGCUCCUGCUUUGAGUGUGGUUUAUGGUGUGAGCGUCCUAGAAGCUCUGUUACUUUGGAGAUGGCAAUCUAGCUGA
rnacentral:lncRNA from 1 species